rnacentral:rRNA from 1 species
AGUUUUAAGUGAAGAGUUUGAUCCUGGCUCAGAGUGAACGCUGGCGGUAGGCCUAACACAUGCAAGUCGAACGGCAGCACAGGAGAGCUUGCUCUCUGGGUGGCGAGUGGCGGACGGGUGAGGAAUACAUCGGAAUCUACUCUGUCGUGGGGGAUAACGUAGGGAAACUUACGCUAAUACCGCAUACGACCUACGGGUGAAAGCAGGGGACCUUCGGGCCUUGCGCGAUUGAAUGAGCCGAUGUCGGAUUAGCUAGUUGGCGGGGUAAAGGCCCACCAAGGCGACGAUCCGUAGCUGGUCUGAGAGGAUGAUCAGCCACACUGGAACUGAGACACGGUCCAGACUCCUACGGGAGGCAGCAGUGGGGAAUAUUGGACAAUGGGCGCAAGCCUGAUCCAGCCAUACCGCGUGGGUGAAGAAGGCCUUCGGGUUGUAAAGCCCUUUUGUUGGGAAAGAAAUCCAGCUGGCGAAUAC